AUUGAACGCUGGCGGCAGGCCUAACACAUGCAAGUCGAACGGCAGCACAGAAGAGCUUGCUCUUUGGGUGGCGAGUGGCGGACGGGUGAGUAAUGUCUGGGAAACUGCCCGAUGGAGGGGGAUAACUACUGGAAACGGUAGCUAAUACCGCAUAACGUCGCAAGACCAAAGUGGGGGACCUUCGGGCCUCACACCAUCGGAUGUGCCCAGAUGGGAUUAGCUAGUAGGUGGGGUAAUGGCUCACCUAGGCGACGAUCCCUAGCUGGUCUGAGAGGAUGACCAGCCACACUGGAACUGAGACACGGUCCAGACUCCUACGGGAGGCAGCAGUGGGGAAUAUUGCACAAUGGGCGCAAGCCUGAUGCAGCCAUGCCGCGUGUAUGAAGAAGGCCUUCGGGUUGUAAAGUACUUUCAGCGGGGAGGAAGGCGGUGAGGUUAAUAACCUUGCCGAUUGACGUUACCCGCAGAAGAAGCACCGGCUAACUCCGUGCCAGCCGCCGCAGUAA
rnacentral:rRNA from 1 species